AACGCGAAGAACCUUACCUGGGCUUGAAAGUUAGUGACCGCUCCUGAAAGGGAGCUUUCCGAAAGGACACGAAACUAGGUGCUGCAUGGCUGUCGUCAGCUCGUGCCGUGAGGUGUUGGGUUAAGUCCUGUAACGAGCGCAACCCCUAUCAUUAGUUGCCAGCGGGUAAUGCCGGGGACUCUAGUGAAACUGCCUGCGUAAGCAGCGAGGAAGGUGGGGAUGACGUCAAGUCAUCACGGCCCUUACGUCCAGGGCUACACACGUGCUACAAUGGUCGACACAAUGGGCAGCUACUUGGUAACAAGAUGCAAAUCUCCAAAGUCGAUCUCAGUUCGGAUAGAGGUCUGCAAUUCGACCUCUUGAAGUUGGAUUCGCUAGUAAUCGCGCAUCAGCAAUGGCGCGGUGAAUACGUUCCCGGGCCUUGUACACACCGGUAUCUC
rnacentral:rRNA from 1 species